GAGACCCUGUCUCUACAAAAACAUUAAAAUUAUAAUUUAAAGUAAUGGUCCACAGUGAUGGUAUGGCUGUCUCUAAGAUCACAAAAGUAGUUCUUAGGAGAACUUGACUUGCUACUCCUGUUAUCUGAUGCUUGUUGAGGACUGAGUGUGGAUUGAUCCUGCAGAGGCCAAGGGAAGACUUUAUCUUCACCUUCUGAAAUUUCACUGAGAAGUCAAAUAACAGAAGAUUCACAGAAGAAAAGGGAUGCAUAUUUAUUAAUAUGCACAAGGGGAGGACCACAGAGAUUACUUCUACUCCCCAGUAGGGUUCAGAAGCUUAUAUACAAUCUUGAGAUUGUGGAAAGAAUGGGGUUUGGAUCAUGGCAAAAUAGGUUAUCGUGGUAAAACAUGGGAGGGGAGCAGGGAAGAGGAGGCCUAGAUAGCAAAAGGUGGUCUUGUUUUGUGGAUGAGAUAAAAUAGAUGGUGACUGUUUCUUACAGAUCUUUAAAGGUUGUCAGAUACUCAGUUCAUCUUUUCCAAAUCUGGACAAAAGAAAGUCUUAGAGAAAUCCGGGCUCCAUCAAUGCAGAUUUUCUCUACAGAUGCUCAUCUGCCCGCAAAGACGGUUUUCAGGGCUACUUCUGUGUGCAGCCCUCUGAAUGGCCAUCUCAAAAUAUGGCAGAGUAUAUUUUGGGGUAAAUUAUUUUGAUUUCUUUCAGUUCCUCCUUUGAAACUUCAAAAAGUUGCAUAUGCCAAAAGGCAAAUUGGUAGCUUUGGAGAGAUUUGGGUUAGAGGUUCUUAGAUAAGACAGGAAAAGGAAGGGAAGACAAAUUGGGAUAAGCAAAAAAUAAAAAAUAAAUAAAUAUGCCAUUCAUAUUAUCAUGAAUCCGUUUUGUGUUCCAGAGAAUAGAUCAGUUGAACAGCUGUUUUCCAUUCUAGGAGGUGCCCUGCUAAUGAGCUAGAACUCUAUAUAGGAUGCAACAAGUCCAUCUCUAAUAAGAAGCAUUUUUAUGGAAACUAAGAAAAGCAAAGGUUAAUAUCUGGAGUAGUCUGCAGGUUUGUUGUUCUAGAGUCUCUAAUGCAUCUUCAGAUGGCAGUGGCGAUCUUUGUGGAUUGUGGUUUAAAUUGGGUGUUCAAGUGAACUGUCUGAGUAGCUCAUACAUCAGCUGGCACAAAAGCUGUUGAUAUGUAAGUUGCUAUGGUGAUUUCUCCCAACAUUUAUAUCAGGUUAUCUAGCUUCAAUGUGCAGAGCUUCAGGAAAAGCACAGUUUUAGUUUUAAGUGAUUCCAAGGAGGAAAAAAGGGAGAACAUUUUGAAAACAUUAGUUUGGGCACUUGUAGCCAGGAAAUAAUUCAGGAUCCAGUUCAAAUUUCAGACAAAUAAAAAAACUCAAAAACAAUGGUCAAGGCUAGAAUCUAAUAGCAUGGGUACUAUAGUUUUCUUUGAAAACAUAAUUUCUCUCUUCAGUUUCCCUUUUGUACCAAAGACAAAUCAUGUGUAGUAAGACCAUUUGUUUGCAAAAUAAAUUUUAGUUUUAUAAUACUUGACAUUAUUUGCAUAGAGUGCAGAAAGAAAAGUGACCAUAUAGGCCCUUUGCUGUUGGCUUUGCUGUGGCUUGUUCAUGAUGAAUCUCAGGUUAGACUUUUCAAAGCCUCUAGAGACUAUAAAGCCAAGCCAAAGAUUUGGCAUCAGACUGUGCCUGUAACAUUUAGAUGAUUUGAGUGAAUUUCUGUUUUCUAGAGGUUUCAAAAUAUCUGGAGGUUUCUGGGCCUCUCAGAAAGUGACAUUCUUUCUUACUGCAAGGUCAGGAACCUUGUAUGGAAACAGUGUGGACAAAGUACCAGGUCAGUCUUUCCGAAGGGCUUUUCAUUGGCUCUGUAAAGUCAACUUCAGUUCCUUAAAGCAGUCUGGUCAUAUCUGAUAACAAGUCAUUCCAGUCAAAGCCUUGAUAAAAUAGUAUCUACAAGUGUGUCCUCCUAUGGAAAAAAAUGAUUCUUACUGAACCUAUAUAGGUAACUAUAUUACCAUAAAAUAAGAAUAUUCAUGAAUAGUUUCAAAUUUUUGGAGAAAUCAUGUAGAUAGAAAGGUAAAUAUUUCAGUUUUGCUCACAAGAGUAUAUAUUACCCAAUUGUUGUAAGCUAUAAAGAAUAAAAUAUUUCUUGACUCUGGAAAACAAAAUAUAAAAAGGAAUCAUCAAUAUUUCAAAUGAAAAUCAUUUUUAAAAAGUGUUUUAGUCCUGUAUCAGUUCCACCCCAUGUAAUUAACUUAUUCUGCUUGCUGUUGGGUUACCAAUAUUUAUGAUUAUAUCAACUUUUAAAAUAGAGCCCUGGGAGGUUUUACACAGGCUAAUGAUAAGUUCUCCAAAGUUAUCAAAAAACUGUAUUCAAGAGUACUUUCAGGGUCCACGCUAUAAAAUUUUUGAAGAAGCAUAUUUUGGACUGUAGCUGAUUAUAAAUGGAUUAUUGAGAAAAAUCAAAGUAAAGCAAUAAUUACCUGUGAAUGGCAAAAGACUUAGAAUAGCCAUGGGUAAAGAUGUAAUUGACAAGGAAAUUUGGUUUUUUGUGU